GAUUAACAAGAGUGCACACACUGAAAUGUCUCGCCUUCUUUACUAAUCAUUGAUAUUAUGUUGAUAGUCUUAAGUAUAAAGCUUUAUUACAACUGUCACAUAAACUUAACAUUAACCAAGAUAGCUUAACAAAGACCAAUGAACCAUGAAAAUGAGGUCAAUGUCAGAUGAACCAUGCCAGGCAGACAUGUACAGCUAACAAAGCUUCCAUACAACAAAUAUAGUUGACCUACUACUUAUAGUUUAAGAAAAAUAGACCAAAACACAAAAACUUAACACUGUGCAAUGAACCGUGCAAUUGAGGUCAUGGUCAAAUAAAACCUGCGGGACUGACAUAUAAAUCAUAAUAUAUUCCCAUACACCAAAUAUAGUUGACCUUUGGCAUAUAAUAUUAGAUAAAAAGACCAAAACUUUAAAAACUUAACUUUGACCACUGAACCAUGAAAAUGAGGUCAAGGUCAGAUGACAUCUGCCCGCUAGACAUGUACACCUUAUAAUCAUUCCAUACAACAAAUAUAGUAGACCUAUUGCAUAAAGUAUGAGAAAAACAGACCAAAACACAACCAGGUGCUCCGCAGGGCGCAGCUUUAUACGACCGCAGAGGUUGAACCCUGAACAGUUGGGGCAAGUAUGGACAAAACAUUCAAGCGUGAUACAGCUCUGAAUUUGGAUUGUGAUCAAAUUUUUGACAUUACAUGGUUUUUUUUACACAAAACAAAUGUCAAGAUUUUACAAAUCAAUUAAAGAUUUCUUCUUCAAACUUAUUUAAAUCUAAAAUUAAAUAGUUGACACAGCAUAGGUUUCUGACACAGAAUGAAUGUGGUCUAAUGAACUUAAAAGUUUUUUUUGCCUUUGAGCAAUUCACUAUGCUGUUGAAUAUUAAUCCUCUCAAAAAAAAUGUUUGAAGAAAUUUUCUUUUUAUUUAUGAAAUCUGAAAUGAGAAAAAUUUAAACCCACCCCCCCCCCCCCUUUUUUCACAUCCCCGUUUCCCUUUUUCCAAACUGAUAUCAAUUCAAAUUUCUAAUGGAGUUUGCAACAAUAACUACUCUUUUAAAUACAUCAUAAAAUAUUAAAAUGUAAAAUAAAGUGCUUG
rnacentral:lncRNA from 1 species